AAGUCGUAACAAGGUUUCCGUAGGUGAACCUGCGGAAGGAUCAUUAAAGAGUUAGGGUCCCAGUGGCCCAACCUCCAACCCUCUGUUGUUAUAACUACUUCGUUGCUUUGGCGGGACCGUUCGGUCCCCGAGCGCACCAGUCUUCGGACAGGUGAGCGCCCGCCGGAGUCCAACCAAACUCUUGUUUUAACCAGUCGUCUGAGUAUAAAAUUUAAUUAAAUUAAAA
rnacentral:misc_RNA from 1 species